rnacentral:tRNA from 1 species
GGCGGUGUAGCUCAGCUGGUUAGAGCAUACGGCUCAUACCCGUAGUGUCCGGGGUUCGAUUCCCUGCACCGCCAC